rnacentral:rRNA from 1 species
UACAGAGGUCCCGAGCGUUGUUCGGAUUCACUGGGCGUAAAGGGUGCGUAGGUGGCCUGAAAAGUUUGAUGUGAAAGCUCAGGGCUUAACCCUGAAAUGGCAUUGAAUACUGUCGGGCUGGAGGUUUGGAGGGGGGACUGGAAUUCUUGGUGUAGCAGUGAAAUGCGUAGAUAUCAAGAGGAACACCAGUGGCGAAGGCGAGUCCCUGGACAACACCUGACACUGAGGCACGAAAGCGAGGGGAGCAAACAGG